UAAGUGGUCAGGAAGAAGUCAAAGCUUCUAGAGGAGGUAGGUCACUCCUGCCCCUUAACUCCUCAGUCCAGCUCUCCCCUAGGACCUCAGAGACUCCACUUUGCACAUUUGCAAGUCAGUUCUUGCACUUUUCCAUGGUUGAAAAUAUUCUUAUAUUGUUGCCAGUGCAGAAUCAACCACUGACCUACCAGAAUCCACCAUUGACCUGGAGUUGCCCACAGAUGUGUACCUGGAGAACACCCAGGCUUUCAAAAAUGAAUCAAAUUCUCCAUUAGCUAUGAUGAUCACUGCUAUCCACUACUUUCUAAGAAGAUUCUGUGCUGUCGAACAUGCCUACCACUACGCUAUAGGAGGUCUACAGCAGGAAACUAGAAGAACAUAGAAUGUGUCCAGCUGAGGCAUCGAUCCUGGCUGGGUGGGGGAAAUUGUUCAGUGAUGGGGAAGGGGCACUUCUUAGCUGUGUCACAUUGAGUAUGGGCUCAAUAAAUAAUUGAAUUUUGAGAGUG